GACAUCUUUAUUCAAUUAAAACAUCAAAAAUAAUUCAUAAAUCAAAUAAGGAUAUUUGGGAAAUAGAAAGGGAGGGAAAUUAUUAAAAUAUCGGACCAGAAAAGGUCCAAAAGAAAACCUAAGGCAAGGUUUAAUUCCGGAUGGGCCAUAAGGCCCAAACCCUUCCUAAUCGGCCAACACGAAACAUCGUGAAGAAGAAAAGAUUGGUGUCUGCAUAAUGCCUACUACCAUUAUUCCAGGGGCCACGUGUGUUGAUGAUGUACACAUGAGAAGCUUAAAAGGAAAUGACAAUAAGAUGCAUAUCCUUAUUAUUCAUUUUAUUAUUACUAUUAAACAAAUUUAGUUAUGGGUAAUGCUGCUGAAUGAAAAGAAAGGACCAAAAGCAAAUGUGACAUUGGUCACUUAUUACUAUUUACUCCUCUCCAACGAUUUCUCCUUUCUUUAUCUCUCUGAAUUUUCAAAAGAAAACACACAUGAAACCUCGAUUUCGUCCAACCAUGGCCAAACCAGAACCCAGAACAUACAUAUUCAAAUAUACAUACUGAUUCUAAAAGAAAGUCAUCAUCAACCUCACGGAUAAGCCAAAACAACUUCUAUAGAUCUACGAUAUCAAUUGAUUCUCGGUUCAAGAAAUCACCCUAAAUCAGCGACGAAACACUCACCAACAUAAUCAACAAGAAUGCAAGCGGAAAAUCAAUUCAACUACAAGGUACUCAACAGUAUAAAUCAGAAGAUGAAAAUCUCAUCGGAGCUUUAAAGCUCCAGCAAGAUUCCGGCGACCAGGAUUACCUCAAAGUAGCGGUGCUCUAGGAAGGGGUCCCUGCUUCAGUCAUCAAAUGGUUCUUAUAUAGAGUUCUUGUACGAGGUUCACCCAUCCUUAUCCUUCAUGAGCUGGCAAAUCUUGGAUAGGAUCAAUCCGUUAGAAUAAAAUCUCCUUUAGAUUUUUGGUUUUGAUAUUCGUAUGCUCAGAGUAUGGCGCGCUUAAGUUGUAACCUUGGAUUGGCAAGUGACUUGUGGGGUUUAGAAUGAAUGAGAAUGGUCCUGGAGAAAUAUCAGCAUGGAUUCAACCUUAAGCACGCCGUAAUCAAAUUUCAUGCAACAAUCGUCCUUGAUGCUUACUCUGGAUUCAACCUUAAACAGGGGUUUUGGGACUUAUUUAAGGUACGUCAUGAGUGGAAGGUGGGAUCCUGAGCAACAUUUCUUUGUGCAGGCUGCAGGUCUUGUGCUGCAAUCUUGUGGCAGGUCUUUGUUUAUAGACCGGGUUUUCUAAAUCAUGGUAUGUUCAGCUUAAACUUUAUUGCGGAAGCUUGCGGCACUCGUUAUGUCUUGGCCCUUUCGUAGGCCUUACCUUCUUCCUAUGUGAUUACGAGUCACAAUUCUCAUGGUUUUGUGAGUUGAUUGCAGGUGAAGGUCAUGGCUGCUAUCCUGUUUGGUCUUUGUAUCCUCAUUUUUCACUUCUAUAACACUUCCUGCAUGAUCUCCAACUUCCCCUUGGGAAGAUAUUACUAAUUGGGAGUCAAUCCUUGCCGGCAAUGAAGUAGAAAACUUCAUUCACAUCUAUUGCAGAAGUUUAAUUGAGACUUUGAGACUGCUUCUAUAGACAGUAAUUUUCUAGCUUGCUGCUAUCUGAGAGCAUGGAUUUCACUGAUGUUUGAAUUAUCAACAGGUGACUGCACUUGGUUUAUGCUAUUUGGCCUUAUUCAUGGCAACAUUUCUACUCACAUUUCCUUUAACCAGCUCAUGAUUCAAGGAUCCGAGGAGAAGGCUCUAUAAAUAAGUGUUGGGAGUCAUUUCCUUUAAUCAGCUGAUGCAUAGAUGUAGACAACAACGCGUAGUUUGAAGCUUGAGUUCAAAAAGACGAUUGUAUUGGUUUCGGUCAAUAAUACCAAAUCUUGUGGUUUUGUCCAAACAAUAUACUUUAUGACUUUGUAGUGAAUGGUGUAGUGCCUGCUUCUUUCUGUGAUGUAAAUUCAUUUCUUCUGUUUUACUCAUUGGUUUAUAUUAAUCCUGUAACUGCACCAUGGUCUGUCAUGUGUUGUUGUUGAUCAAAAUAAUGGUUUGCAGGUUGUACUGUAGGUCGGUAAAUGCAGACUGUAAUUCUAUUUAUGAACAUACUUUGGAAAUGUAUUGUCUCUUGGUUCACGUUUUCAUGGUUAACCUGCAGAAGUCAUGGUAACAGGAUUUACUCAUGCGUGUUAUCAAACCAGUAUGUACGCAUGUUUUGGUUCUGCAGCAGGUCAUACGUAGGCUCGGUUUGGUGCAAGCGAUUAGGGAGUGACCUGCACACUCAGAAGUGGCUCCAAUGCAAGAUAAGGUUUCGCUCAGCGUUGGCUAUGAAGACAAAAAUGCAGGAGGAUUCUACUACAUUUUGUUAGCAGCCACGCAGGAGAAAUGUCGGAUUCCAUUGCGGUCAUGCCAGUAGUUGUAAUCUGCAUCACGUUGUCCUUUUGAAUGAAACAAAGCUUACCGAGGUUGAGGAUGGCGUCCGCAACAGGUUUUCUACACAGUCGGGAACUUAAUAAGGCCUGGAUGGUGACGCAGGCUGGACUGUUCUUAUUCGGACAUGGCUUGUAGCUUAUCAGAUAUUUUUUGGAACUCUAUUUCUUUCAUUUAGGCUUGACUGUAAUGUAACUUGGAUUAAUGAACCUUUGUAAUAUUCCUUUGAAUAACUGAAACGUUUUCUCUUUU